GGCUGGAAGAACUGGCGUAAUUCUUCCAAGUGUUGAUUAUAUGGCCUAGACUUUGCUUUAGAAUGUGGGCCCCAUUAUUCUCAGAUUUGGGAGGUUUAAAAAACCGAGACAGAAAGAAUCCCAUUUGAUAGUCUGUCAUGUUAGAUAGGCAAAACUUAUUCAUUGAACCACCAAGGUUAUGCAAGGAAGUUUGUGAUCAAUACCUACGUGAGGAAUAGCAUGUUGGUAAUAGGUAGUAGUAUUUACUCCCUAUGUGUGUGUGAUCUGGCUUCAGGGAUGCUAGUCAGAAUAAAGGGCAAGAGAUAUACAAAACAGAAACAAGUGCUUCCUUUCAUAAAUUCUUCUUUGUAUAGAUCAGACAGACUGGUAAGUGUUGGAGGCUCUGGGUAUGAGUCAGUAGAGCUCCUUCUCAAGGUCUGUGCUACUUUUUGUCAUGUUAGGCCGACAGAACUGGACUCACGACCCCCAACUGAGUUAAAUCCUAAGACCUAGUUUUCAAAGACCGGAUGUACAUGCCACCACAUGCUAUAUAUAAUAUGCAAGAUAACCUCCUUCAAUAAUGGAAAUGAAGAAGCUCCGUUGAACAGAGAAGAACACCAGGAACAUGGACAAAAGCUCAGUACUGGUAUAGGUGUGACGAGCAACAAAAGGCUGCAGUGACAUAUUGUGCCAUAAACAAACGUACGAUGUAAACCUGUUCUUAGAGAAUUGAGCACAUUAGGAGGUUAAAUUCUUCCUGGAACAUGAAGACUCUCCUAAACAGUAGAGAACUACUCAUUCUCUUUUCUAAAACUUCAAUACACCAUCCUCUCAACUGCAUUCAACAUUGAAUUGUCAUAAAUAAACAUCAUUCAUGGAAGCAUA